GAAGAGGAUAGCAGGAGAAUGAGGCAAAUGUUCCCAAUGCCAGUUAAUUCCUGAGGUGGCAUUAUUUCUUAACUGAUGCAUUGAUCAACACUGUAAAGAUGAGUUUGUGCUGUGAAACAGUCCCAAUAUUAUUAUAUUCCCGCAAUUAAAUUGCGUAUGUUUUUUUUCUUUUAAAUUUUGUUGCUACAGUUAGCAGUGGGUCAGAAAACACUUCAAAGUUCAAAAGAAACUUGAUGUAGAUUUAACUUUUUUCCCGGUACUUCCUAGUUAGCUCAAGGCAAUGCUAUUACUGAAUUUCAUGUACUUGAAUUUAAAAACUCUAAGUGCCAACACUGUAAACAUUUUGUAUCUUCUCAACUAAACCUUGCGGGAUAACAAGGAAAAGAGCAAAGAUAAGCAGUAAUAAUUUUGUGUAUAAUAAAGCUGAUCUAUUUUUCAGCUUCUGGUUUAAAUUUAAAUAAGAUUUUAAAACAAUUUUUAAAGGUCCAUGCUACAAUUGUAAAGGCUAUUUCUAUGCACUUUUAAUUCUGGACACAAUUUUCAAAAUUGCAUGAUGGAGGUAAGAAUUUUAAAAACCCACCAGAAUGUAAAUAACAGGGAAGAACAUUUUCAAAUCAAAGCAUCAAACAUACAUUCAGGUGCAGAAAUC
rnacentral:lncRNA from 1 species